rnacentral:rRNA from 1 species
UGGCGUCAGGAUGAACGCUGGCGGCAGGCUUAAUACAUGCAAGUCGAACGGUAAGGUCCGAAGUGGCAACACGGAGGAUACACGAGUGGCGCACGGGUGCGUAACGCGUAUGCAACCUGCCCCCGACCGGGACAAAACAGCUGGAAACGGCUGCUAAUAUCCCAUGGUCAUGCGGAAGGGCAUCCUUCUUCAUGUAAAGAUUCAUUGGUCGGGGAUGGGCAUGCGUAUUAUUAGGUAGUUGGCGGGGUAACGGCCACCAAGCCGACGAUGAUUAGGGGUCCUGAGAGGGUUAACCCCCACACUGGAACUGAGACACGGUCCAGACUCCUACGGGAGGCAGCAGUAGGGAAUAUUGGGCAAUGGGAGCAAUCCUGACCCAGCCAUGCCGCGUGAAGGAAGACGGCCCUAUGGGUUGUAAACUUCUUUUGCCGCAGAGUAAACCCGGUCACGAGUGGUCGGUUGAGAGUAUGCGGCGAAUAAGUAUCGGCUAACUCCGUGCCAGCCGCUGC